AGAGCGAACGCUGGCGGCAGGCUUAACACAUGCAAGUCGAGCGGGCGUAGCAAUACGUCAGCGGCAGACGGGUGAGUAACGCGUGGGAACGUACCUUUUGGUUCGGAACAACACAGGGAAACUUGUGCUAAUACCGGAUAAGCCCUUACGGGGAAAGAUUUAUCGCCGAAAGAUCGGCCCGCGUCUGAUUAGCUAGUUGGUAGGGUAAUGGCCUACCAAGGCGACGAUCAGUAGCUGGUCUGAGAGGAUGAUCAGCCACAUUGGGACUGAGACACGGCCCAAACUCCUACGGGAGGCAGCAGUGGGGAAUAUUGGACAAUGGGGCAACCCUGAUCCAGCCAUGCCGCGUGAGUGAUGAAGGCCCUAGGGUUGUAAAGCUCUUUUGUGCGGGAAGAUAAUGACGGUACCGCAAGAAUAAGCCCCGGCUAACUUCGUG
rnacentral:rRNA from 1 species